rnacentral:rRNA from 1 species
UAAUACGAAGGGGGCUAGCGUUGUUCGGAUUUACUGGGCGUAAAGCGCGUGUAGGCGGACUGGAAAGUUGGGGGUGAAAUCCCGAGGCUCAACCUCGGAACUGCCUCCAAAACUUCCAGUCUGGACUCAAGCAGAGGCAAGUGGAAUUGCGAGUGUAGAGGUGAAAUUCGUAGAUAUUCGCAGGAACACCAGUGGCGAAGGCGACUUGCUGGGCUUGUAGUGACGCUGAGACGCGAAAGCGUGGGGAGCAAACAGG